CCCUUCACAUGAAACCCAACACCAGAGUUUCUAGGACAGCCUCCUCAUUGAUAAAGUGUUCCCUGACUUCUCAAUGAGCUUGUACACUGUAGCUGCAGCGAUAAUGGGCUAUAUCUGGCCGGCCCGGAAUCCUGCCCAUGUUCCAGUCAGUGCCCUGGCUAUCAGUUGUCUGCUGAGCAUGAAUGGCCAGAGGCAGAAAAAGGACAAGGAGCCAUGCUGGUGAGAAGUGGAAGUGAUUAACUUAUGUCGCAUGCUCCAGCGUGAGUUGCAGCCAGCGAUAGGCGAAUGUAUGUUGACAGCUGCCUUGGAGUUCACACCACACCGUCAGCACCCUACAGGAAACAGAUUACUCCAGGGCUUGAGAGCUCGUUGACAGCUGGAGCUUUCUGAUAAAGUUGUCAGAAAGUGAAAAGGACAGUCCCAGGAAAUUCUUUCCCAAUUUCAGGACCUGCAAGCUGUCUCCAUGCUCCUGCCCUCGGUGCCUUGCACUGUGGCCACUAGAUGGCGGUGUUGCAUAGGGUCCCCGUUGGCUCCAGUCCACAGGAGACCACUCAGCAGGACGCCCGACCUCCAGACUCCGGCCUGCACCCGCACGGCACGACCAUCCCCGGAGACCCGUGGGUGGACUUCACAUUCUCAGUGCCCAAAGAAUUCCUGCCCUAGGGAUUGCAGAGAUUGGAUUUGGGGUUGCAGAGAGAGCUCUCCAGAGAAAACUUGCCUCUGCUUCUUUUCUUACCUCAACAUCAGAUGUCCAACUAGAGACCAAACUCAUUCACUUCUGGAGAUGCUGUCUCCCUGUGUUGCUCAGGCUGGUCUCAAACUCCUGGGUUCAAGUGAUCCUCCUGCCUUGGCCUCCCAAAGUCCUCCACAUCUUUUAAGACUUUACUGAGAUGUCACCUCCUCUGGAAAGCCUUCUGGGAUUGUUCUUCCCAAAUGCUGAACAUCUGAGGGCUUCGUAUCAGCACCACGCAUUUGUCUGCCAGCUAUAAUCUCCAAACUCUGUUCACUAAAAACCACUGGGGAAUGAUUAUUCUCCAAUGCCUUUCUAAUGUCUUAGAAUUCGUGACCUAGGGUUUGCCAACCUGAGGGCCCACAGUGGCCGGUUCAGAAUGCUGGGGACUGCAGUAAACCAGAGGAUUUACCCGGUGAUCGUUCCUCAUUCUGGCCAGCAAGGCCAUCUGGGAACGACAGUUCAGUAUUGCCAAAUCUUCUACUGGUUUGAAGACGCUGAUGACAUGGUUUGGAUCUGUGUCCCCACUCAAAUCUCAUGUCAAAUUGUAAUCCACAUUGUGGGAGGUGAUUGAUCAUGGGGCGGAUUUCCCCCUUUGGUACUGUUUUUG